rnacentral:rRNA from 1 species
GACGAACGCUGGCGGCGUGCCUAAUACAUGCAAGUAGAACGCUGAAGGAGGAGCUUGCUUCUCCGGAUGAGUGGCGAACGGGUGAGUAACGCGUAGGUAACCUGCCGGGUAGCGGGGGAUAACUAUUGGAAACGAUAGCUAAUACCGCAUAACAGUAGAUAUUGCAUGAUAUCUGCUUGAAAGGUGCAAUUGCAUCACUACCAGAUGGACCUGCGUUGUAUUAGCUAGUUGGUGAGGUAACGGCUCACCAAGGCGACGAUACAUAGCCGACCUGAGAGGGUGGUCGGCCCCACUGGGACUGGGACACGGCCCAGACUCCUUCGGGAGGCAGCAGUAGGGCAUCUUCGGCCAUGGACGGAAGUCUGACCGGGCAACGCCGCGUGAGUGAAGAAGGUUUUCGGAUCGUAAAGCUCUGUUGUAAGGGAAGAACGAGUGUGAGAGUGGAAAGUUCACACUGUGACGGUAUCUUACCAGAAAGGGACGGCUAACUACGUG